GAUCAUGGCUCAGGAUGAACGCUGGCGGCGCGCCUAACACAUGCAAGUCGAACGAUUAAAGCACCUUCGGGUGUGUAUAAAGUGGCGAACGGCUGAGUAACACGUGGGCAACCUGCCCCUCUCAUUGGGAUAGCCACGGGAAACCGUGGAUAAUACCGAAUACUUCGAGACUUCCGCAUGGAAGACUCGAGAAAGCUCCGGCGGAGAGGGAUGGGCCCGCGGCCUGUUAGCUUGUUGGUGGGGUAACGCCU
rnacentral:rRNA from 1 species